rnacentral:rRNA from 1 species
CCUACGUGUGGCUGCAGUGAGGAAUAUUGGUCAAUGGUCGGGAGACUGAACCAGCCAAGCCGCGUGAGGGAUGAAGGUACAGAGUAUCGUAAACCUCUUUUGUCAGGGAACAAAGGCGGGGACGCGUCCCCGGAUGAGUGUACCUGAAGAAAAAGCAUCGGAUAACUCCGUUCCAACAGCCGCGAUAAUACGGAGGAUGCGAGCGUUAUCCGGAUUUAUUGGGUUGAAAGGGUGCGCGGGCGGUCUGUUAAGUCAGCGGUCAAAGCCCGGGGCUCAACCCCGGACCGCCGUUGACACUGGCAGUCUCGAGUUGGAGAGAAGUAUGCGGAAUGCGCGGUGUAGCGGUGAAAUGCAUAGAUAUCGCGCAGAACUCCGAUGGCGAAGGCAGCAUGCCGGCUCCACACUGACGCUGAGGCACGAAAGCGUGGGUAUCGAACAGGAUUAGAUACCCCAGUAGUC